ensembl:lincRNA
CUGCAUUGUGCUCUGGUUCUGCGGGAAAGACCAUUCAACCCAGAAAUAAACAAGAAAGAGCGCUGAAUCCUCUCCUGACAAUGCCAGAGAAUUAGUGGCAAGACACACAUGCAACAACACGGGAUAAUCCAAGUGACCGACAGACCUGAGUUCAUUGAACUGCAGCUGGAUCCAGAAUUCCAGAAAUUCCACUAUCUUGGAUAUUUUAUCCCAGCAACAAGAAAAUAACUAAAACACGGAGCAAAGAUGAUAAGGGAAGGACUACAGAGUCAAUCUUCAAUGUUGAAAAGUAAAUCAUAGCCUUAGAAGCCAAUAUUUGUAAGCCUCC